AUUGAACGCUGGCGGCAGGCCUAACACAUGCAAGUCGAGCGGAUGAAGGGAGCUUGCUCCUGGAUUCAGCGGCGGACGGGUGAGUAAUGCCUAGGAAUCUGCCUGGUAGUGGGGGAUAACGUCCGGAAACGGGCGCUAAUACCGCAUACGUCCUGCGGGAGAAAGUGGGGGAUCUUCGGACAUCACGCUAUCAGAUGAGCCUAGGUCGGAUUAGCUAGUUGGUGGGGUAAAGGCCUACUAAGGCGACGAUCCGUAACUGGUCUGAGAGGAUGGUCAGUCACACUGGAACUGAGACACGGUCCAGACUACUACGGGAGGCAGCAGUGGGGAAUAUUGGACAAUGGGCGAAAGCCUGAUCCAGCCAUGCCGCGUGUGUGAAGAAGGUCUUCGGAUUGUAAAGCACUUUAAGUUGGGAGGAAGGGCAGUAAGUUAAUACCUUGCUGUUUUGACGUUACCAACAGAAUAAGCACCGGCUAACUUCGUG
rnacentral:rRNA from 1 species